rnacentral:rRNA from 1 species
AGAGUUUGAUCCUGGCUCAGGAUGAACGCUGGCGGCGUGCCUAACACAUGCAAGUCGAACGAGGUGCUUUUGUAGCAAUACGAGAGUAUCCUAGUGGCGAACGGGUGAGUAACGCGUUGGUGACCUACCCCAAAGUGUGGGAUAACAGUCCGAAAGGAUUGCUAAUACCGCAUGUGGUCAUUGGAUUUAGAAACUGAUGACUAAAGGAGCAAUUCGCUUUGGGAGGGACCUGCGUCCCAUCAGCUAGUUGGUGAGGUAAUGGCUCACCAAGGCGACGACGGGUAGGGGACCUGAGAGGGUGGCCCCCCACAAUGGAACUGAAACACGGUCCAUACACCUACGGGUGGCAGCAGUAGGGAAUAUUGCUCAAUGGGCGAAAGCCUGAAGCAGCAACGCCGCGUGUGCGAUGAAGGCCUUCGGGUCGUAAAGCACUUUUCUGAGAGAUGAGAAAGGACAGUAUCUCAGGAAUAAGUCUCGGCUAACUACGUGCCAGCAGCCGCGGUAAUUC